rnacentral:ncRNA from 1 species
CCAAAGGCUCUUUUCAGAGCCACCAAAGUCCUCAGUGAUAGUGCUG